rnacentral:lncRNA from 12 species
GCACCAGUCACAUCAGUGUUCCUGUACAGCUCACAAGACACGGCAAACAGUUAAGAACAUCUUUCCAACCCAAAGUACCAAGACUUGAGACAGUUCUAUGCCAUAUGUAUAGCUCUUGAAGGGAAGGGUUGUCUAUAGGAGAAGACAGUGGCUGGUAAAUGAAGGAAUACUUCAAUAUCUCAUUCCAUUAAGCAAGAUACAACUUAUCAGCAUGCAGAGGAAAACAGACUCUUUCUGCAGGUGGCUUAACUUACUGUUGUUAUGCAUAGAGCUGUGGAAGAAUGUUGCCUUCAUUCCACGAGAAUCCUGGCCACGGAGAAGAGCUGAGAACUGUUAAAUAUGGUAAUUUUUUUUCAUGCCUUUUGCUGCUUUGCAACAGAAUAGACUCUGAAUUAGUAGUGUU